rnacentral:rRNA from 1 species
UACGGGGGAGCAAGCGUUGUUCGGAUUUACUGGGUGUAAAGGGCGCGUAGGCGGCCACCGCAAGUCGACUGUGAAAUCUCCGGGCUUAACUCGGAAAGGUCAGCCGAUACUGCGGGGCUAGAGUGCAGAAGGGGCAACUGGAAUUCUCGGUGUAGCGGUGAAAUGCGUAGAUAUCGAGAGGAACACCUGCGGCGAAGGCGGGUUGCUGGGCUGACACUGACGCUGAUUGUGCGAAAGCUAGGGGAGCGAACGGG